GACGAACGCUGGCGGCGUGCUUAACACAUGCAAGUCGAACGAUGAAGCCUAGCUUGCUAGGUGGAUUAGUGGCGAACGGGUGAGUAAUACGUGAGUAACCUACCUUUAACUCUGGGAUAAGCCCGGGAAACUGGGUCUAAUACCGGAUACGACCAAUCUCCGCAUGGGGUGUUGGUGGAAAGCGUUAUGUAGUGGUUAUAGAUGGGCUCACGGCCUAUCAGCUUGUUGGUGAGGUAACGGCUCACCAAGGCGACGACGGGUAGCCGGCCUGAGGGGGUGACCGGCCACACGGGGCAGGAGACACGGCCCAGACCCCCCGGGGGGGAAGGGGGGGGAAAUAUGCCCAAAGGGGCGCAAGCCUGAGGCAGGGACCCCGGGUGGGGGAUGCCGGCCUUCGGGUUGAAAACCUCUUUUAGCAGGGAAGAAGAGAGAUUGACGGUCCCUGAAGAGAAAGCCCCGGCUAAUUACGG
rnacentral:rRNA from 1 species